rnacentral:piRNA from 1 species
UUCUAGGCUUUACUGUCCAGUAGGCAAACA